rnacentral:rRNA from 1 species
UACGGAGGGUGCAAGCGUUAUCCGGAUUCACUGGGUUUAAAGGGAGCGUAGGUGGGUUGGUAAGUCAGUGGUGAAAUCCCCGAGCUUAACUUGGGAACUGCCAUUGAUACUAUCAGUCUUGAAUAUUGUGGAGGUGAGCGGAAUAUGUCAUGUAGCGGUGAAAUGCUUAGAUAUGACAUAGAACACCAAUUGCGAAGGCAGCUCACUACACAGUUAUUGACGCUGAGGCACGAAAGCCAGGGGAGCGAACGGGG